rnacentral:rRNA from 1 species
UACGAGGGGGGCAAGCGUUGUUCGGAAUUACUGGGCGUAAAGCGUGCGCAGGCGGUUUUGUAAGCCAGAUGUGAAAGCCCCGGGCUCAACCUGGGAACUGCAUUUGGGACUGCAAGGCUGGAGUACGGCAGAGGGAGGUGGAAUUCCACGUGUAGCAGUGAAAUGCGUAGAGAUGUGGAGGAACACCGAUGGCGAAGGCAGCCUCCUGGGCUAGUACUGACGCUCAUGCACGAAAGCGUGGGGAGCAAACAGG